GCGACUAGCGACAUCAACGGCACGUACAACUAACCUAUGCUUUGGUUCCCAGCGGUACGCAUAUAGCAGCUAUGAACACUCUAACUGUGGGAAUUCUGUUCACAGUGCACAUCGUACUUGUGACAUCCCAAAUUCUGUGCCCCUUCAGAUACGGCAGAGUAGGCUGCACGUUUCUCGGUCAUAUGAUUCCGCCGGGACAGAGCCGCAGUUAUCGUAAUCCAUGCGUGAGCGUUUAUUGCCACAAUGAAGGAAACCAUGUUACGCUGUCAGGGUGCGCAGAUGCCGCUGGCACGAACCAACACGCUCCGGGGGCGCCCGGUGGAGAAACCAGAGUAUGGCCUUUCUGCUGUUCGGCUUGCUCUGCAGUUUGGCGACAAGGAUAAAAAUACUCUAUCAAAGACCAAGUGUCCAUUUCUAAGACAACUUGUAUUUCUAGAAUGGUUUUUAUUGGACAAAGGGACAAUCUUAAGUAGAGCAUG
rnacentral:lncRNA from 1 species